UAUACCCAAAUCUACCAGCAGUGUGAGAUGGGAUCUUUAGAGUAUAGGUUUCUCAGCUACAAGGGGUGAUCAUGACAAUUCUGAUAUUUAUGCAACAUUUUGACAUGUUUCUUUCACUUAAUACAGUCCCUACUUCCUUUUGUGGAAAGUUGUUGAGAACCUGAAAGAUGUGGACGGCAGUAGCCCCUGUCCAUUCUGCACUUGACAGGCAAAGUCCUAUCACACAGGUGCAACUCCUCUGUGAGGAAGACUUCUGUGAAUCUAGCUUUGGUUGGAAGGAAAAGUAGUCACUGUUUGCCCUGUUGCAGUGAUGGAUUCUAUUGUAGAUCAUGGAGCAAAUAUCUCUGGUCCUGAAUUAGACACAAUAAUGAACAUACCAACCCAGUGGAUUGAAGCAGAGCUGAUUUUAAGUUGCUACCUUCCUUGUUAUUUCAUGGAGAGCAACUCCCAGUCACUGGCAGCACCACUGAGUGCAAUGCAGCACAGCAACACUCCAGUCAUUUAGUGAGUACACAUCGACAACAUUGCUGAGAAUGACAUCUGUAAACUCUGAACUCUACCCUUGACAAACUGGGCAAAAUCACGAGGUCUAGUGGCUGUUAGCAUUUGUUGGCUAUGUCUUUGUCAUGACUUUGUUUUUAUAUGUGGCAUUUCUUCAAUUCUGGCAACAUGAAUACAUGGAGUUUGUUUUGACUAGCGAAAUCCCAGUCAAAUAUUGCCUGGCAGGAUGAGCUGUAUAAAAAAUAUUGUGUGUAAAAGUGUACUUUUAUAAGUGGCUUAUUUAAAGGUGACAAAAGUUGGGUUUACCCAACUAACACUACUACUACUAAAAUUCUAUCCAAUGAAGAGCAGUUUUAUUUACAAGGACAUCUUUCCAUCUAGUGAUGAUGGUAAAAAAUGUCAGAAUUUCACGGCUGACACUGACCUUUUGAACCGAGUCACACAGUACCCAGUCUGCUUUUCUUUGACAAAUGCUUCCAUGGGGACAAAAGCUGCCUCGUGUAUCUCUGCCUACUUUUAACUAUUGUUGGUGUGGCGGUAGACAGAAUUAUGAAGGGAAUUAUUUACUGCUAAAAUUGAGGAAAUAUAGUUUGUUUUUUUUGUUUUUUUAAUUAGUUACUGCCAGUCACACCACAUAGAUUAAUUCAUUUACCAUUUUAAAACAUCAAAUCUGAAUUUAUUCGACUUUGGAUCUCAGCUGAGUUGAGUGGCAUUCAGCUUUGAAUUGCUACAGAACUUUCCUUUUUUAACAUUCAAAGGGAAAUUUGAUCCAGCACUUCUGACAAUAGUGCGCGUGUGUAUGUGUUUUGGU